UUCGGUGGGGGAAGGAUGAGCAGCCGACACUAAUAGCUGCAUCUCCGCCUUGUCCUCCAGCGUGCGCCGGUCAGCAGACACCUCCAGCUCACCGAUCACCGAGUUUUGUGACCUGUUUCGGGUCAGAAAAAAAGUUCUCCGCUUCUCUAACGUGUUUCUGAAGUUGCUGAGUUGAGAGAAAUUUUAUCGGAGGAGGAUAAAAGCUGCAGCUCGGGACGCAUGGACACGCACAGAAAACCUGGGGAUAAAUGGAGGGACUGGAGUGACCAGCGUGGAACCAACUACAGACCUUUGACCUCUGAAAUCUGACCACAGUGAGUGUGGAGGCAGCUGACCAUGGAGCAGGAUCUAAGGACGGGUCUGUCAGUGUGGGCCAUUAUAGCCAUUGUUUGCAACUCUGUGGUGGGCGCCCUCAUCCUCAUUCUCUUCAUUAUCCUCUACAAGGCCUGUAAGGUGCCUUCACACCCGGACAAAGUGCCAGUUUUCACAGCAGAGGUGCAGCAGAGGAAAGAACAGAAGUACCUGCUGACUGCAGCCUAGUCAUGACAACAAAAUACAAAUGUGUGUAUCUGCAGAACGUCAGCAGACCAGCUGGUCUUGAGUCCUCUUCAAACCGAACACUCCUGUCAUCAUUUUUGGCUCAGUGUCUUCUCCAGACCGUUCACAUAUCUCCACCAUCAGCACCAUCAGUCUCAUCUACUGCAUGAAAGUUAGUGGGGCUCAGCUGAGGGUGAGAUAACUGCGUUAAGAGUUGUGGCACCAACAACAAGAGGCGAGUCCAAUCCUCUUAUCUCUGCUGUGCGUCACAGGGACUGUCCAUCUGUCAGUCUCUUUCCUCUGCUCUACACAGGCAGACCAUGAUCUCCUCCUCUUCUCUUUUCUCUUUCAUCCUGUCAGCUGAGAAGUGGGGGAAAAUAACACAGCAAAAUAAGAGAAAGCACUGAGAGAGCACAAACCUCCGCCAAAGGUUCCCCAAAGUGUCAACACACUCCGAAGCAUCAUUCAUUUCUGAAACCAUAUGUAGCUUUAGCUUUUUUAUUUUAUAAUUCACUUUUCUUAAGAUUAUGAAGAUAUCAGGAGAGUAGUGCAGAAAAAUAAACGUUUUUAGAGCAGUACUGACAUUUGCAGUUAUAACGAAACAUGUUGGAAACAGAUUUUUUGUAGUAGAAUUUUGAUCUGUAUCCAGAUUACCAUCAAAAUCAAAUUAUUUAAUUAUUUAGAGAAUUGAAUCCAAAUCUGAUGUUCAUUAUUUGUGUUAACAUCACUGUUUGAGCAACAGACAGACAAACACCCUAAACAAGUGAAAAGUUUAGGGUUGACAGGAGAUACUAAUGUACAGAUCAUGUAGCACACGAGCAGUGUUUGUCAGCAGCAGGGAGAAGUCAGGAAGGAGAGAGAUGCAGCUGGAGGAACUAUGUGUGAGUGAUAAAGGGCAGGGAUGAUAAAGUGCAGAGGAAGAGUGGCUUUGAUGUGUUGUUUACAGAGAAGGGAGCUCGCGGCUUGUAUUUGACAGUCUUCCCAUUUGACACACGUCUCUGCCUCUGCCGAUCUGACUCCCAAAGGAUUAAAAGUUACCGUAUAAUUGUUAUUCGUGUCCCGGUGUGCCUCUCUUUCAUCCUGUGAACUCCUCUAAAGACUGAACAAGCACUUUUAUUGACAGCCUUUGCCAGAAAUGACAGACUGACUCAACACUCACUGUCUAACAAGUGAGUGUUUUUUUGUACAGCAGCAAGUAACUGUGACAAAUCAUGAUUGUAGAGCCGAUAAUAACUUCAUCUUCAAUUGUUAUUCACCAUCAUUCAUAGAAAAAAAGGAGUUGCAUAAUCUUUUGUCUGGUUUACAGGAUUUCAUUGAAAGGGCUUUAAAAGUAUUUCUUAUUUUGUGAUGGAAAAAUAAAAGAUGAAAUCUGAUCUCAGGUAUUUGUUUAUAACAUUGUUUUUAGCAAAGGAAACUUUGUGAUGUGAAAUGUCUGGGGAAAAAAAAUAAAAGAAUAACGGAGAGUUGAUUGAUGGAUUGAUUCAGAUAAAAUAAAUAAAUAGAAUCUGUUGAUGACAAGUAUUGCAAGUUCUAUCUAUCUAUCUAUCUAUCUAUCUAUCUAUCUAUUUUGCUAACUUGCUAGGUAGCUUUCCUAGUAAAUUUCAUAUUACUUCUUGUUGCAUUACUGACUUCUUCCUGUCUUUUGCUCCGUCUCCGCUUCCUCCUAGAAAAACUCACCUCGACCUGAACCCUUACAGUGAUUUGGCUGAAUGAUUGAUCUUUACGGAUGAUGAUUUGCUACUAACAGAAAUGUAAGAGCCAUGGAUUUAUCCCAGAUCUUACAUGGUGAGAAAAACAAAUGUGAAGAACAGUGUGAUGCCAUUUGUUUAAAGAUAAAGCAGCAUAUCUUGUGAGUCUGUGUGACAGUAACUGUACAAACACAUGUGUGAAUGUGAACAAAACAGUUGUUUAUAUCACAUACAAGGCAGAUGGUACAAGCCUUUGGUCUGAUGUCGAGAUGAAACCGCUCAGCUGUCUCGUGUUUAUCUGCUUUGCCUCUAUUUAUGUGUCUGCCAGUUUUCUCGCUCUUCAUCUCUUUGGCUUUCUUCCUCUAUUUUUUUUUUUAUCCUUUUUCUUUUGUUUCCCUGAUUCCCUCGAGCUAUACCGGUGCCAAAACCCAUGCGAUGCACAGAAGCAGUCAUCGACCGUGCAGUGUGCAGUUUGGAUGUGGAUGUGAGGGCUGGCCGGAGAAACCCCUUUACAUGGUUUCCCUCCAACUCACCUGCUGCAGAUUACUCUGAUUGCCACCACUCACUCGCUCCUGUUUAAAAGGCUGGACCAGGGGCCUCAUUUAUAAAGCUUGUGCAUGCACAGAAGAAUGCGCACACCACUUUCUACACAACGUUUGGCAUAUUCCAUUUUUUUUUGCAUAAGCAAAUCCUGUGUUUCCUAUGACGUACGCCAAGUAUCCGCUGUAUCUACGCGCAGUUUUAUAAAUAAGGCCCCAGCUCACCAGUAUUCGCCAAAUUGUUUUCUCUUCCUACUGGUAACAAGCCUUCAUGCUUGCCUUCUCAACCUUUGAUCCCAGCCACUUAUUUUACUUUUUUUUCCAGAACACCUGCACUUUUUGUCCCUUCCCACUCCAGCCAGCCUUCCUCCGUUGAUUUUGAUGUUUGCCCAGCCUUGCUGUUGGUUUUUCUCUCGUUUUGUUCUCCUUUAUUUCAUUUUGUUUUAAUUUUACUUUCAAUUAAGUUUUGUGCAUUUGGGUUUCUGCACCCAUUGUUAUUACAAUGGGUGUUAUUACAUGCUAUUACACGGUGAUUACUAUAGAAAAUAACAUGGUUUCACCAAAGUAUUUCCUCCCUACAUAAUUGUAAUGUGGUGUUACGGACAUAGUCUUCAAGCUGCAGAAUUAGCUCAUUCUGUGAAAGCAGAUUUGACCAUGAAAUUUAUUGACCAAUUUGGAAGGUAGCAGCUGAUGUGCCAUGUUUGUCGUCUAUUUUCCUCUACAUGACAUAUAAAAUUGAUAUCAUGUUCUAUUGAACAAUAGCUGAAACUAGAGAGUGAGACCAUUAACUCCUCAUGAAAUUGUUAUAAAUCAAGUCAACCAUUAGAGUCUCUCCCUGGUGCAUUACUACUACCUGGACUUCACAGUUUGUAGAAAAAGUAGAGGGCAAGUUGAUUAACAUUAGUAUUUUGCUGGUGAUUUGGUGAUCGAAUUGUUAACCUUAUGAUAUAUAUAUAACCUUAUGAUAUAUGUAUAUAUUUAUAUAAAUAAAAGUGCAUUGAUACUGUUGGAAAAAGAAGGGCUGCACUAUCCGUGUCCUUUCUGUAGUUUCUAUAAUUGAUCCAAAGAGAGAGAGAGAGAGAGAGAAACAAGCAAUAGCAAUCAUCUGUGCAGUCACACAUCUGUUCUCCUGCCCAUCAGUCUUUUUUUAUUGAUCCCCCUCAUCUCGGGAAUGAGUGUUAUGGCUCAGAUGCUGUUUACUUUGACUUCAUCGGUUGGAGAUUAGCCGUGGACAGUGCACUUCAAACCCGCCAUCUCAGCUAAUGCAUUACACAGCUGCAAAACAAUUUCCCCCGGUCGUUCACCGCUAACUGAGAUGGAACAGGGUCGCUGACCUCAAUAUGCUGUUAUGUAAUCAUUAGUACAAACAUUACACACAUAAAGAUUAAUAAUGGACAUAUGACGAGCCAGUAAUCUGUGGGCUCCAUCUGUACCACUCCAUGUAGGUUGCGUAACCUACUGUACAUCAGCCCAGACUGAGUGAUUUGGGGCGAUGUUGGUAUCUGAGUCGGCGUGUCUGACUUACUGAGGCAAUGGUUCUCAAACUUUUUAUACCAAGUACCAGCUGAGGAAAUAUUGAGCUCCAUUAUCACCAACAUACAGUGGUCUAAAUGGGCCGAGCAAAGUCAGCUACA